rnacentral:rRNA from 1 species
AUACGUAGGGAGCGAGCGUUGUCCGGAAUUACUGGGCGUAAAGGGCGCGUAGGCGGGCUGGUAAGUUGUAUGUGAAAUACCCGGGCUCAACCUGGGGGUGCAUACAAAACUGCUGGUCUUGAGUGCGGUAGAGGAAAGUGGAAUUCCUAGUGUAGCGGUGAAAUGCGUAGAUAUUAGGAGGAACACCAGUGGCGAAGGCGACUUUCUGGGCCGUAACUGGCGCUGAGGCGCGAAAGCGUGGGGAGC